UGUUUGCUUGAAAUCCAGGAAAUCUUCUCACCUUCCCUAACUCAGCCUGUAGGGGCCCUUUUUCCUUCCUCUUCAGAAAGUCAUGUCCCUUUUCAGCAUCCCAUUCUCAUUGCCAAAACUAUCACGAACUGUACAGGUUCUAGGAUUUUACCCUACUGACAAGCUAUCAAGUUAUCUGGCCACAGUUUCACGGAUGCUAGCAAGAGACUCCUGGGUCAGAGACACAGGACUUUAUUAUUUAUGGGAAAAGCGCCACUGAACCAAUGAUUUCCUUAAGGGGGCAGAGGGAGAGAUAAGGUUUUCCCUAAAGGGGAAUUUGCACGUAAAGCUGAGAUACUGCAGAGUCAGGCUAUCUGUGCACUUGAACACACCAUUUCUAUUUGACAAGCAAGGCUUAUUGGGCCCUUUCCACCUUGUUGGUUGCUGAGUCCAACUUGAUCCAUCCCCAAAUGGAAACUACAAGCCAAAGAGUCCGAGGCCUCUACGGUAAGGUAUUCACUUUUGACAAGAGCUCAGUAGCUCUCAGGGUAAUAACUGCUUUCCAAUAGCGAUGUGUCUGGUAGCUGUGUCAGAGGGGAAUAAGUCCAAAACCCCAAAAGAGGUCUUCAGGCAGAGACUCCAAUCAGUACAGAGAUUUGUAGCUCAAAGGAGUCAUUAGGAUUGUGGGACCCCAAAGAUACUGCAUCACAGCAUGUUAGACAGCUUCCAAGUCAGCUUGUUGGCUUGGGCCCCAGUGAAAGGAUGCUGAUCUGUAGGUUAGCAAAUAAAAAAGACCAAGUAGAAUGCCACAUGAAGCACAUACUGUCUGCAGAGUCCAACAGGUGCUGCACCUUCUUUUACGGAGUUGAUGGGAGCGGGGAGGAGCAAAGAGACACCAGUUUUUCUUUGACUGCCAGAAGGACUGAACAUUAUGAAUCUUCCCAGAUAGUCCCAAUACACUUUACAUGGACAUCAUCUAUAUAGUGAAAGCUGUGGACACCAGAAGGUAGAAGCUAAAUCCUGACCUACCCACCAGUGGCGAAAGGCAGGUUUUAAGAUUGAGACAAGCCUCAAGAAGCCUCAUCCACCUGGAUCUGAUUUAGAUGAUGAAAUUCUGCCCGUAAGCCUGAGCCUGAUGCAAUAAUAGCAUCCAAACCGGCGAACCCCAGGCCGCCGAGAAGUGGAAUGUGCGAACUUAACUGCUGCACCACUGGGCUGGCCCCCAGUGAACAACGCCUUCCAAGCUUCACGCCCUUUUUUAGUCCCCUCCAAUACCAAAUCAGUGCUGAGCCUAAGACUUGCUUUAACCAACAGAAUGCAGUGGAAGUGACCCUGUGCUGGUUUUGAAGCCUAAGUCUUAAGAGUACCUGAAGCUUCUGUUUUAUAUAUAUUCAGCUACCCUCCUAGAAAGGGCAUAGAGAGAGAACACAUGAAGAGGCCAUGAGGAGAGGGAGAGGGACAUAGGGAGGGAGGGAAGGAAAGAGAGAGAGAAACAGACACAUCACACCAGAUGUCCAUGCAUCCCAACUGAGCUAGAUUUACAGCUGUCCAUCAAGGUAUAAGACAUACAAAAGAGCCAUCUUGAGUGUUCCAGCCCAGCAGCUCCUAGAUGACUAUAGGACCAGCCAACAUCAAGUGGAGCAAAACAACUGCCCAGCUAAGCACAGUCAAACCACACAAUCUUGAGAGAGAGUAAAAUGGUUAUUUUAAGCCACUAAGUUCUGAACUGGUUUAUUGUGCUACAAUAUAUAACUCACUUAUCAAAUGAAAACUGAAUAUUUCGGAAGUCAGACUCAAUAAAGAAAUUAAAAGGCAAACUAAAAACUAUGAAAAAGUAUGUGCCAUAAAUAUACAAGUGGUUAAUAUCCUUAUAAUAUAAAAACAGCUCAUUAUAAAACAUAAACAGCAUCACCAAGUACUCAACAGAAAACAAUGGACAAAGGACAUGAUCUUUCUACUCAUAGGGAAAAUCAAAAUGGCUAAUAAGCAGGAAAAAGCUUUAAUCUUUUUGAAAUGCAAUAAAAAAAAAAAGCUUUAAUCAUUAUUUAGAAGACCAUAAAUGCUCAAUUACCACUGGUGAGAAAAAAAACCAGUACAAUCUUUCUAGAGAGCAAUUUGUCAACAUGCCAUUUCUAAGAAUAUAUGAGAUAAUCACAGCUCCAAAUAAAUAAGUAAAAGGAUAUUAAUUUCAAACUUAAUGUCCAACAAUAUAGAAACUGUUUAAAGAAUUACUGAAUAUCCAUAUUUGAGAAUAUUUUGCAACUUGCAAAUUUUUAAGAAAACUCAGGUAACAUGCUUAUAAUGUAAAGUUUAAAAAAGCAUAAUAUAAAAUUGUAUAUAUAUACAUAUAUGGUUUGAUCUAAGUUUUUGAAAACAAAAGAUAUAUGUACAUAUGCAUAACAAAGACUGAAAGGAAAUAAAAUUGUUAAACAUGGCAGUAGAAUUAUAACUACUUUUAUGCUUCUAUUUUCUAAAUUUUCUAUGACUGUAUAUUACUUUCACAUUCAGAAAAAACAAGAAUGCUAUUCUUUUUAAGUUACAUUGGUUAGGCUAUUGAUAAAGGAAACUAAGAACAAUUCCCCAACUGGAGAUAUUUAAUAAAAUUAUAUCUUUCGGAAUUUGGAAGGGAAUUGAGAAAUGACCUAGUAUGAUCUACUAUAAAUGAGGAAACACACCUAGAGAUUUAGGUGCCCAGGCCUAGUGAAGUAUUUGGAGGCAGAACCGUACUUAGAACUCAGAUUGCUUCCCCACUGCCCAGUGUGCAUUCUCAUACUGCUUUAUGAUUUUCCCAUAACAGUGACUCAAACAAGACAGAAAGGUCGAAGUAGAAUAACUGUCAUUUGGAGAAAGGCUUUACCUGGUGUACCGUUAAAUUUACAUUCAGAUAGGUCUCAUUUUAAACUAUAAAAUUACUUCUAACAGGAAGAACAUAAGCUAUUUCCUGUAAUGUAACAGUUUUAUUAAAAAUUUCCACUGAAAUAACUCCCCAGGCUUUUCUUCCCUUUGGAUUUACAUCUUGUUAUUGUUGCUAUACUUUCAGCUGAAUUUUACACCACCCCAUGAGACUUUUCCUUCAAGGGUUCUUUCCUCCUUACUUGAUGAAUAUAAGCAGGGUAGGAAUGUUGAACAUACUUAGGUACACUUUCACUUGGAGACAUUUGAAUGCAUUUUCAAUUUAUUUGUAUUUAAUUUGUUUUUUAAACAAAUUAUUUUGUUUUUCCUAA